rnacentral:lncRNA from 1 species
AAACCUCUAAACAGGAAAUAGCCCGAAUCACAAUAAUAUACGGGAGCAGCCGCGGAGGCCGCUGGCGCCCUCCCAUUCCCGGGGAGCUUCCCGCACUCCGGCUUGGGUGAAGUGCAGCCAGCGACGCGCGCAGGGAGCGCAGGGGGACACCAGCCCAGCAGCUAGCGCCGCGCCGCCCAGCGCCCCGGAGAGCCGCCUUCGCCCUCGCCCAGCGCCCGACACCGCCGGCCGCGGCGGCGGCCGCCACCGGCUCUAGGGUGCGAAGUACCACAUUACUGUCAUCUCCCUGUGAGUGGGAUUGGCACCCCGGCUGCAGCUCCAGGAGCAAGUACUCCAGGAAGCACAGAGCUGUACCAGUACACGGCCCACGUUGCCAGGCCCCAGGCAUGGAAGAGCUGAUAUGGGAACAGUACACUGUGACCCUACAAAAGGAUUCCAAAAGAGGAUUUGGAAUUGCAGUGUCCGGAGGCAGAGACAACCCCCACUUUGAAAAUGGAGAAACGUCAAUUGUCAUUUCUGAUGUGCUCCCGGGUGGGCCUGCUGAUGGGCUGCUCCAAGAAAAUGACAGAGUGGUCAUGGUCAAUGGCACCCCCAUGGAGGAUGUGCUUCAUUCGUUUGCAGUUCAGCAGCUCAGAAAAAGUGGGAAGGUCGCUGCUAUUGU